rnacentral:lncRNA from 1 species
UUUUUUUUUUUUUUUUUUUUUUUGGUAAAAUGGCGGCAUUAUAAGUUGAUGUAAGAAUUAAAUAAUCUAAAACAUACAAAAUAUCUAGAAGAGAACUUGUCUCAUAGUAAGUGCUUACAUGUAAUUAUUAGCAACAUCACCAUUUAAAAUCCCCCCACCAAGCCAUGAGUAGGAUCUUGUCCUACCCACCAUGGAGAUAUAAAAGGAGGACUGAAUUUUCCAACUUGAUUUGGGAAACAAAAUGUAAGUAGAGGAAAGUUAGAAAACAAUAAAAAAUUACCCGAUUGAAUAAAAAGUUGAUUCUUCCUCCUCCUUUCAAAUAAUACCAAUAAAAAUGAGAAAAUAGAGACCUCGUUGAAUUUGGGGGCAGGGGCCUUUCUUUAUGGCCAGAGUGAUGUUUGAUUGGAAAUGAUCUACAGACCCUGUGAUUUCUCCAUACUCGACUUUCCUCCAGAAACUGGCUCCUCAGCCUCUCCAUAUCUCAGUUUCGAAAAAGCAGCACAUCCUCUCAAAUCGAUUCGACUGAAAAUAAAGAUAGAAAAAGACCUAAGCGACAUAAUCAUAAAUGUAGAUAUGAUGGAUAGAUGUCAUAUUAUGUGCCCUGAAGGUAGGGAAUAUAUUUUAGUUUCAGGUGCCCAUGGAACAGGCACAGUAAUUAAUCCUACCAUUGACCAUUGCAAAGAAAAUCACGAUGUCAAAAAGUAGCAAUAAUGUAGACAUCAUUUUCUGUUCACAGUGCAGUAACAUUUAAAAUUAAUUCAGAAUUGGAGAAUUUUAUGAAAGUUGUUAUUUAAACAACUUUUGGGUCAAAGCUGGCUACAAAUCCAAUUUGCAGAUUCCUAAAAGACAAUGAUAUUGAAAAUACUACAUAUUAGGUUCUGAAUCAAAAGGAUAGAACUAAAGCAGUACUCAUAGGAAAUGCCAUAGCCUAAAAUAAUUUUAUAAGGGGAAUGAAAUUGAAGAAAUUAAGAAUGAACCUUCAAAAUUAGAAAAAAGGAGGAAUAAAAUAAACCAAAGAAAACUAGAAGGAAGAAAGUAGAGAUAAAAGGAUAAAUGAGUUAAAUAACAGAGGAAAGAGCAAAUUAAAUGAUAAGUGAAUAACUGGGUCAUUGAGGAAAUAAAAACAGCAAAAUAGGUAAGUCUUACCAAAAUCAAGAACGAAAGAACAAACACAAACAUAAUAAGUAACAAGAAGAAGAUAAUGCAGAAACCAAGGAAAUAUAAAACUAUUUUGCACAAUUUUACGUACAUAAACUUAUGAAUCUGAAAGAUAUGGCUACUUUUCUAGGUGAAUAUAAUUCACUGAAACCAACUCCAGAACAUGCAAAUAGACUGAUUUUCAUAGAAAAAGUUGGAGAAAAUUAAGAAGGAACUAAUAUUCAAAAGCACCAGGGCUAGAAGUUUCUCAGUCAAAUUUAACCAAAUCUUUAAAGACCGGGCCAGGUACGGUGGGAGGCUCACGCCUGUAAUCCCAGCACUUUGGGAGGCCGAGGUGGGCAGAUCACGAGGUCAGGAGAUCGAGACCAUCCUGGCUAACACAGUGAAACCUUGUCUCCACCAAAAAUACAAAAAAAUUAGGGGGGCGUGUAGCUGGGACUACAGGCAUGCACCGUGAAUCCUGGCUAAUUUAUUUUUAUAUUUAGUAGAGACAAAGUCUCGUUAUGGGCUUCAGUAGUCACUCUUGAUUCCUCUUCCUCUUUCUCUUUCAUCAAUUGCUAUAUCUUAGCAGUUCUCAAACAUUCUCUCCCCUCUGCCACAACUCCACCUUCAGAUCCCAGUCCUAGCAGCUGGAUUUUUGUGUCAGACCUUGAACUGUCUCUGCUUCCAGCUGUUGCCCAUAACCCCUCUCCUGAUAUGUCAUCCACACUGUAGUUGGAGUGAGGCUUCCAACACAUGCUAAGGAACCCCAACUGUCUUCAGAGGGUUUUUCUACAGAGGUGGAGGUCAGGAUGGGUACUGGGAGGUGGGAGGUAGGUACUUGUCUAGCUCCCUAGCAGAGGUGCUAUGGGGCCACCCUGGGGAAAGGCUGAGAACCUAUGGGAAGGCUUGACAAAAAAUGCCCAGGAGCUUCAUGGUGGUACCAGGCAGGAGGGAGGCAUCCAGGGUUCCUCUCCACACACAGUGCGCCUCUCUACUGUGCUGUCCUCAGAAGACAGUUGGCGCUUCUCAGCAUGGUGCCCCAGCCCUUCAGGACCUGGCUCCUGCCACAUCUUCAGUCAUACACUGCCCCUUCUCUCUGUCCCUCCCACACUGAGGACAGCAGUUCUGUUCUCAGCCCUGGGGCGGGCAGCCGGGAAGCUUUGCUCAUAUUGCUCUUCUUGCAGGGCACAAUUUGCUCCACCUCUUAGCCAGAACUCAUUUCAGGGACCAUCUCCUCUAAGAAGACUUUGCAGACAACUCCCCCAACCCCUCACUCAGCAUACACCCCCUUUUCUCCCAGGACAUCGGGCAUACUUAAUGCAUUGUAACAGGCUCACAACAUUUAUGACAUCAUAUUGUGGUUGUCUCUUAGCUGACUGUCUACUUGCGUAGGGUAGUGGUGAAGGUGCAUUCUCUGGAGCCACCCUGUCUGGGUUCACAUCUGGACACUACCACCCAUCAGCUGAGUGGCCUUCUACAAGUUCCUUAACCCCUCUGUGUUCCUGUUUCCUCCAACUGAAAAAUGAAGAUGGUCAUAGCACCUGCUUCUCAGGUGGGCAUGAGGAUGAAAUGAGGUAAUAGCCAUAGAGUGCUGGGAACAGGAUGUGCACACAAUAAGCCCUAUAAGAAUGUAAUAUUAUUAUUAGACUGUGAUCACCUUGAGGCAGGGUGAUCUGCUUUAUCUAUCUCUGAAUCCUUAGUUUCCAACUAAGCCCCUGGUAUCAAAUUAAUGAUUAAUAGUCAUAGCACUAAGGAUGAUAAGAGCAAUGAACAUCUGCAGAGGUUACACUUUAUAGCCUAUAAAAUGUUUUCACAUACUGUAUUUCAUUUAGUUGUCAGCACACUGCUGUCAGGUACCUAAGGUUAUUCCCAUUUCACAGAUGAAGCAACUAAGACUCAGAGAGCCCUGGAUGAGUCCAAUAUGUUGGAGGAUUCUAGACAGCCAUCUGAAUUCAAUACUCAUACUUUUGGAAUAUGGACGUUUUAAUAGCCAAGACUGACUCAGCAUCUUCUCUUUCUCUGGAAGUCUCUUUUCCAGAUUCUGUCUGGUAAAUUUCCACUUGCACUUCAAUUCCCAGCUUUGAAGUCAUCAUUCCAGAGGAGUCUUGCUGCCUCUUACAUGCUGCCUCGGCUAUUCAAUCUGUUUCACCCAACAGCAUUUCUCUUUUCCUUUUUGUCUUUUCCUGAUGUUCCCACUACCCUGUAAUCUCUUUAAAGGCAAGAACCAUUUAUGGUUCAUCUCAGUAUCUCCCAUGCCUAACAUGGCAUUAGAAGCUGAAGGUGCUGGAACCAAACUGAACUGAAGCUUGGUUCCUUCAGUAUGUGAUAUGCACACAGGGUAGAGUAUGAUGUGGAUGGUAGGCAGAAGCACACUGUGUGUGGAGGGGGGCCCUGAACUCCCUCCUGCCUGGUGCCACUAUGAAGCUCCUGGAAAUUUUUUCUCAACUCUCCCCAUAGGUUCUCAGCCUUUCCCCAGGGCAGUCACAGCAGUACAUCUGCUGGGGAGCUGGACACAGCACCCACCUCUCAUCUUCCAGGACCCAUUCUGACCUCCACCUCUGUAGAAAAAUCCUCAAGGUCUGAGGUGUCUUCACUUUAGGGAGCCAAGAGUGGCCAUCAAUGCAACUACUUCACCCUAAAAGAGAGGGAAAAGAAAGAAAAACGUAGUAUGCCCUUUCAAAAUGCUGCCAAUCCUUUGUGAGCCUUAGUGGAAGGUGCAUAUACCAAAACUUUAUCUAUUGAAAGAGCAGUGCCUUGUAUUCAAAAUAUUGUUUCCUUCUCCUUAAAGCCUGGUUCUCCAUCGAAUACAAGUCUUAGUCGCCUCAGCCCAGAGCUGCACACUCCCUGAAAUCACAAGAAGAAUGCCUGGCUGAGAUUUGGACCAUAAUUAAGGUCCCUCCCCGGAAUGGUUAGGGAACUUUAGCAACUGAUAAUGGUGCUAGAGUUCAAUUUCAAGGGCUACCCAAUGUGAAAGGACAGAUGAUUUUAAGUAGUUUAUUUCUUAAUGUUUUGUAGCCUUGAUGUCCUCUUUUAUAAGUU